rnacentral:rRNA from 1 species
CUUGGUCAUUAGAGGAAGUAAAAGUCGUAACAAGGUCUCCGUUGGUGAACCAGCGGAGGGAUCAUUACCGAGUUUACAACUCCCAAACCCCUGUGAACAUACCAAUUGUUGCCUCGGCGGAUCAGCCCGCUCCCGGUAAAACGGGACGGCCCGCCAGAGGACCCCUAAACUCUGUUUCUAUAUGUAACUUCUGAGUAAAACCAUAAAUAAAUCAAAACUUUCAACAACGGAUCUCUUGGUUCUGGCAUCGAUGAAGAACGCAGCAAAAUGCGAUAAGUAAUGUGAAUUGCAGAAUUCAGUGAAUCAUCGAAUCUUUGAACGCACAUUGCGCCCGCCAGUAUUCUGGCGGGCAUGCCUGUUCGAGCGUCAUUUCAACCCUCAAGCCCAGCUUGGUGUUGGGACUCGCGAGUUAAACCGCGUUCCCCAAAUUGAUUGGCGGUCACGUCGAGCUUCCAUAGCGUAGUAGUAAAACCCUCGUUACUGGUAAUCGUCGCGGCCACGCCGUUAAACCCCAACUUCUGAAUGUUGACCUCGGAUCAGGUAGGAAUACCCGCUGAACUUAAGCAUAUCAAUAAGCGGAG